rnacentral:rRNA from 1 species
AAACUAGGAUUAGAUACCCUAUUAUAUUAAUUAAGGAAAUAGUUUAGUAAUUAAAUGUAAAUCAUUAAAAUUAUAAGAUAUGGCGGUUAUAUAAAAUUUUAGGGGAACUUGUAAAUUAAUUUGAUAGUCCACAUUAAGAUAUACUAAUAAAAAUUAAUAUUUGUUUUUGUAUUGUUGUUUAAAAAUUUUAUAUUUAUAUUAGAAUUAAAAUUUUAUUAAUUAAAAUAAAUUCAAAUCAAAAUAAAGCAUUUAUUAGAUUUAUAUGAGUUACAUUAAUAAAUAAUUUUUUUAAUGGAUUAUAAAUUUUAAUUUAUUUAUAUAAAAAAGGAUUUAAAAGUAAAAUUAAAUAAAUAUAUUAAUUUGAAUAUUUUUUAUAUAAUGUACAAAUUGCCCGUCAAUUUCAAUAAAAUUUGGAGUAAGUCGAAACAAAGUUAGAGUAUUGGAA